rnacentral:rRNA from 1 species
GUUGGGUAGGGGAGCGUUCUGUAAGCCUGCGAAGGUGUACUGUGAGGUAUGCUGGAGGUAUCAGAAGUGCGAAUGCUGACAUAAGUAACGAUAAUGCGGGUGAAAAACCCGCACGCCGGAAGACCAAGGGUUCCUGUCCAACGUUAAUCGGGGCAGGGUGAGUCGACCCCUAAGGCGAGGCUGAAAAGCGUAGUCGAUGGGAAACGGGUUAAUAUUCCCGUACUGGUGGUAACUGCGAUGGGGGAACGGAGAAGGCUAGGUUGUCCGGGCGACGGUCGUCCCGGUUCAAGCAGGUAGGCAGAGUGAUUAGGCAAAUCCGGUCACUUAAUGCUGAGAUGUGAUGACGAACCACCAAGGUGGUGAAGCAAUUGAUGCCCCGCUUCCAGGAAAAGCCUCUAAGCUUCAGGUUACCAACAAUCGUACCCCAAACCGACACAGGUGGUCAGGUAGAGAAUACUCAGGCGCUUGAGAGAACUCGGGUGAAGGAACUAGGCAAAAUGGUGCCGUAACUUCGGGAGAAGGCACGCUGGCGGUAGGUAAAGUCCCUCGCGGACAGAGCUGAAGCCAGUCGAAGAUACCAGCUGGCUGCAACUGUUUAUUAAAAACACAGCACUGUGCAAACACGAAAGUGGACGUAUACGGUGUGACGCCUGCCCGGUGCUGGAAGGUUAAUUGAUGGGGUCAGCCGUAAGGCGAAGCUCCUGAUCGAAGCCCCAGUAAACGGCGGCCGUAACUAUAACGGUCCUAAGGUAGCGAAAUUCCUUGUCGGGUAAGUUCCGACCUGCACGAAUGGCGUAAUGAUGGCCAGGCUGUCUCCACCCGAGACUCAGUGAAAUUGAACUCGCUGUGAAGAUGCAGUGUACCCGCGGCAAGACGGAAAGACCCCGUGAACCUUUACUAUAGCUUGACACUGAACAUUGAGCCUUGAUGUGUAGGAUAGGUGGGAGGCUUUGAAGUGUGGACGCCAGUCUGCAUGGAGCCAACCUUGAAAUACCACCCUUUAACGUUUGAUGUUCUAACCUAGGCCCAUAAACUGGGUCGGGGACCGUGUCUGGUGGGUAGUUUGACUGGGGCGGUCUCCUCCUAAAGAGUAACGGAGGAGCACGAAGGUUGGCUAAGCAUGGUCGGACAUCAUGCGGUUAGUGCAAAGGCAUAAGCCAGCUUGACUGCGAGAGUGACGGCUCGAGCAGGUACGAAAGUAGGUCUUAGUGAUCCGGUGGUUCUGAAUGGAAGGGCCAUCGCUCAACGGAUAAAAGGUACUCCGGGGAUAACAGGCUGAUACCGCCCAAGAGUUCAUAUCGACGGCGGUGUUUGGCACCUCGAUGUCGGCUCAUCACAUCCUGGGGCUGAAGUAGGUCCCAAGGGUAUGGCUGUUCGCCAUUUAAAGUGGUACGCGAGCUGGGUUUAGAACGUCGUGAGACAGUUCGGUCCCUAUCUGCCGUGGGCGUUGGAAGAUUGAGAGGGGUUGCUCCUAGUACGAGAGGACCGGAGUGAACGCACCACUGGUGUUCGGGUUGUCAUGCCAAUGGCAUUGCCCGGUAGCUAAGUGCGGAAGAGAUAACCGCUGAAAGCAUCUAAGCGGGAAACUUGCCUCGAGAUGAGUCUUCCCUGUCGCUUUAAGCGACCUAAAGGAACGUUUAAGACUAAGACGUUGAUAGGCUGGGUGUGUAAGCGUAG